GGGGAUUUAGCUCAGUGGAAGAGCGUUUGCCUAGCAAGCUCAAGGCCCUGGGUUCGGUCCCCAGCUCCG
rnacentral:tRNA from 1 species